rnacentral:lncRNA from 1 species
AUCAAGAAUGAGAAAAAAGUCUUCUAAAGUUUUUUGUUCAUAAAGUUCUUAGUUUGUUCAUCAAAAAAAAAAAAAAGGGAAGAGUGUGUAGUGUACAUUAAUCUUUUAUUCCUUCAUUUUUCGGUAGCCGCUAGCUUUCAGGGGACUCUCGAAAGGGAAACCUCACUUCUUCCUUAAGACAUGUAAGUAGUCAUUACAUAGAUCUUUGUAUUUUUCUCCCUAGUUUGUAAAUCAUGUUUGAAUUAACGAAGUUCAUAUUUUCUUUCAGAUGUGUUUUUAACAUUAUAGAUCUGGAUGACCGUGCAUAUUACCGUCAGUUUUUCGAUCUUGUAAAAUUAGUAAAUUACUUAUUAGUACAUAUGUUUUAAUAUUCUAAAUCUGGAUAGCCGUG